AGGCAGGCAGAGAGAGAGGAGGAAGCAGCCUCCCUGCCGUGCAGAGAGCCCAAUGCGGGGCUUGAUCCCAGGAUCCUGGGAUCAUGACCCGAGCUGAAGGCAGAGGCUUUAGUGAACUGAGCCACCCAGGUGCCCCAAGUCUUAUGAAAGUUAAAUAACCUGUCUCUGGGAGCUGCCAAGGCUGGGGUUAGAGUUCACUGGUCUGACAGCGGCAACCUGCCUUCUUAGCUGCCUCCGUGUUGGAAAGGCAGGAGUGACUCACUGCGGUAAUUGUUACAAACUGUUGCUGGGCUUGGUCAGGCAGCUUCUGAUGACCAGGUGUGUUUUGCAUCCCGCUUAGGCACCGAACUGGACUAGAAUGGAGGUGAGCUGCUUUGUAGCCCCUGAAGACUGGAAGCAAAGCCAAGAAACUAAGAGGUCCCUUUUGGCCCCGUCCGGGAGACAAAGAGCAUUGCAGUUUCUUCUGAAAUGCAGACACUACUGUGCCACCAAAUUCCUCCUGCAAGUAUCUGAAAUUAUUUCCCAGGAAUAUCACUGCCUGAUUUUUCUAGGUGAGGAAGCUAAAGCCCUGAGACCUUUACAGAGCUGGGACAUGCACUGGGGCUUCUGAGUUCUAACAUCGAUGAGCUUCACUGCUGUACCCUACUGCCUGCAGCAGAUUCUGGAACUGACUGCAACAAUUUCCAAGCUGUGGGGAGGGAGUCCUCCCGCCGGAGCAGGUUGGAAGCCACUGAGCCCAGGCUAUGGAGGCAGCAUGUUGUCCCUGCUCCGCAGAGACCUAGUCAUGAGACCUGAGGUCAGGUUCCAGCUCCAACCCAGGCUGGUUGGAUGAUCUUGGGGGCAGCCCCGUGUGACCUGGAGAGCUUGGGUUUCCUCAUCCCAGAGCAGAGAUUGUGAACAUGAUUUGGCAGGAUUGUCAAGAUGAUUAAAUGAGAUAGAUCAAGGGCUUUGAAAGCUGUGGAGUGUGGCACAGAUGGAGGGAUUGUUGUGGUCAUCUAAGACACUGACACAGAUGGUCAGCUUCUCCAGGGCAGGGACAGUCCCCUCCCUCAGUGACACUUCUUGCGUUCAAUGCAGGUGGGUGAGAUGACCUCGUAAAAACACCUCUAAGCGACGCGCACAGCACACAGGCAUUUAAUAAAUGGUAAUGGGUAUUUAUGCAUGUGCCUCUGGUUCGAAUCUUCUGUCUGCCCCUGGCUGGGUUAAAGAGUAUGACAGUGGG